AUUGUAUGCAUUGAGUAAGCCUCUUAGCAUUGAUUAUAUAGCUUCAAUAUUACAUAAUUUCCCUUUAGUUUCCUACUCCCUCUCUCUCUCUCUCUCACUUGAUAUUAUAAUGUAAUAUUAAGGUUUUAUUAUCAUUUCUAACUCAUCUUUCUUUUCAUCAUUUUCCUCAUCAGGUUAUUAUUUUUUUUCGGUGACACAAAAAGGAACCAGGAAGAGGAUAAAGACUACAUGAUAUUAAUACCUGAAAACAUAUGGAAGUGAAAUUAUCUUGUUGCUUGUUGUUUUCGUUAAUUUAUCAAGUUCAAGUUUACCUUUUUUCUUUUCUUUCUUUGUGUGUAACAUUCAGAGGAUUGAAUUGCUUAUAACAUGGUAAAGAGAAUAGAGGAAAGUGGUUAAUAAGAAUAUGGUAAAGUUUUUUUUUCUCUUAUAGUUUGGUAAGUUCUCUUGUAGUAAUUAUGAGAAAAGACAAUAGAAGAUUUGGAAACCUGAUAUUGUUUCAAAUGGAACUAUUAAUACCAUGAAACACUCUGGAUGAUUAUAUUGAUUAUCAAAUGUAUCUUUUUCUUUCAUCUAUUGACAUAAUUUAGAGACAACUAAUGGAUCCACAAUUGAGCUUCUCAAUCAACGAUAUUCACUAAGGUUAACCUAUAUCUCAAUUUACUUCAUUGAAUUUAACAGAACUCUGGUAACUGAGUCAUCAUGAUCAUGAUCAUCAAUUAUACUCAUCAUCAGAAUCACUUGUAUGUUAUUAGUUAGAAUACUUAUGAAUUUAGUUGAUUGAAGGUUUUUUUCCUCUCUCUCUUUCCAUGAGUUGACCCAAGGUGAUUAAUAAUCAAUUCCCUGAUAUUAGUAUCUAAUAGUAGAAAUUUAAGUUAAGUUUCCAUUAAUAAAUUUCGAUUCGACUUUUCCUUUUAUCUUUAAUGAAUGAUGAGCUUUCAACAUCAUCAACGUAAAUACUGUUGAUAUGCUAUCAGAAUUUACGGAAAAAUUAUUAAUCAAGAACAAUUUGUUUGCAGAACGAAAUUUAAUUGAUCCAAUUACGGUCCUUUUCAUAUGAUUAUUAUCUUUUCAUUUAAAGAGAUGAUUAAAGAUUAUAAGCUAUGAAAAUUGUUAUAAAAAUCUACCUGUUGACAUGGAAAACACAAUCAACAAGUUGGAAAUAUUGUUCAGAAUCGUGAAGUCUUGACAAAAAUACGAAACCAUGGAUUCAGUAAUACUUGUAAUCAUAAUGAUCAAUAAUAUGAUUAAGAGUAAAUUAGCCAUUGUAUGAAUGAGGGAAUAAGAUGAUCAUUGUGAAGAUGAGUGAGAGAAAAAUGGAAAAUCUGAAAAUUCUGUUGAAACCGACCAUGAAAAUCUCAUAGGAGGUUAGACAAAAUGUCGACAAUUGUUCAAUGUAAAAGAAACAGAAUGACAAUAAGAUGAUUUUUCUCUCUCCCUACCUUCUCAUUUCGCUUUUAUCAUUUUCCUUCUCAUCUUCUCAUCUUCUCAUCUCUUCAUCCUUCUCAUGAUCUUCAUCUUCCCAUUUUUCUACAUCAUUCCCUCCACGUUCAUUGUUAUAAGUUAAGCAGCAGGAAAAACAGGGAGACUUGUUAACUAGGAAUUAAAUCAGUUCUCCAGGAAAACCUAAGCCACCAUAUAGAAUGGAACAAUUUUUUUCUUCUCUCUCUCUCUCAGUUGUUUUUUUUUGGACAAAGAGACAAUCCUUUUGGUGUUUUAUGGUGCAAAGGAACCAAGAACAACGAGGAGAUUGAAGAUUUUCAUGGAAGACAAAGGAAAGAAAAACGAGCAAAAAUGAUGAACAAUGUUGAUGAUUAUGAAGAUAAUCCAUUCAUUCAUAUUAAAGUUACUCAUCUUGUUGUUGAAAAUGAAUGAACAACUCAGGGGGAUUCACAUGAUAAAAGCUAAUGAAUUUUAUUCCUCUUUCCUCUGAAUUUCAUUCAACAAAGAGUUUGACAAACUACUGUAUCGAUUUAAACCAAAUGAACCUGUGGAUAGACAGUAAUCAUAACAAGGAUAAGCUCCUUAAGUAAAUCUGAUUUUAAUUAUUAGCUAAUUAAUAUCGCUUAAUAUCAAUUGUCUUGUCAUCAUCAUCAUGUAAUCAGUGUUAAAAUUACACAUUGACAUUGAUAAAAGAUAUUAAUUAUUAUCAUUUGAUUGCUAUUGUGUUAACAUUAAUCAGAUUCUAACAUGAAACGAUAAUAUCACGAUAAUACCUAAAGAUUUACUCCUGAGGAACCAUUAAAACGUGAAUGAUUGGUUAUCUAUCCUUUUUUUAUGGUGUUAAACAUAGUGUUUAACAACAUUGGCUUUUUAUUGAAUCCAAAGUCGAGAUUGAAGGAAAAUCAUUAAUAUCAACAAAUAUCACCAAUAUUAUGGAACGAUAAUAAUAUUAAAUGGGUUUUCACUCCCUUUCCCAUGAUAA